UUAUGUCUAAAUCCCAGUGAGACUCUGUGGUAUAACCCGUGCAUGGCACUUAAGUCACCUAAAUGAAGUCAUUUAGCCCCACACGACUUCAAGACUAGACCCCUCUGUGCCCCGCCACUCCCAUUCUCUCUAGAGCCCUAGCCGCAUAUCACAUCUCCAUCCCAUUCGAUUUUUUUGUGCUCAAGCCUCAGUCCAGAUCAUUUAGUCUAUGAUUAUAUUUCAAGAUGAGGUUUAAAGAGAGAGAAAAGAGGAAGAAAUUGAUAGUGGCUGCCUCUCUAGAACAUUCCUCAAGCGAGGAAGAGCUUUCACUUGAGACGGUGCAGGCUAGGGAGCCUUCAACCCCUUCUGCAGAGACUCCAAAGCCUGAAGCUUCCUUUGAACACUUCACUUCUAUGGAACCUGAAGUGGCUUAUAGAACCACUUUUUCUCGCCAGCCUGUCUUAGGUGAAAGAGAGCUUGAUCACCAAACUGGCUAUGAAAGCAAAAGUCCCUCUUAGGGACAAUGAGCCAACAAUGAAGAUGGCUGGUUCUAUUUAAGCGCUUAUGGUGGUCAAGUCAGAGAGUUUUGACUAAAAAGAGACCACAAACGAUAGAGUUUGCCUCCUCUCCUCUUGAGCCUUCCAUCCCUAUUUCUCAAGUUCUUGAACAUAUCACUAUUAUCUUCCAGAAGAUUGAUAUGUUUACUGCCAAAUGGGAGGACAGUCAGUCCAAGUUAGAGCACCAACUUGCUACUAUACGUUCAGACUGUGUACAAGAAAAUGAUCGUCUUGUUAAGCUCUCCUUGGAUAUGCGGCAUGUCAUGGAGAAACAAGAGAAUGUCAUUGACUUUGAUGCAGAGGAGUAGACAUCCCUAAUUGCUAACAAAAAGGGGGAGUAGAUGAUGUUAAGGGGGAGCAGCAUAGCAGCAAGAGUAGCAGAUACGUGUGAGGGGGAGCAACAACAGCAGGGAGCAAUAGCAGUAGUAGAGAAUCUAAUCUUGUUUUGUUUUAAUUCUAGUUCAUUAUGGUUUGGAAUGUAAUUCAGAACAAUGUGUUUGUUUUUUUUUUUUUUUUUUGCAUGUUUUUGUUUCAGUUGGAGGUGAUUAAAACUAUACUGUGCUUAGAACAUGUUUAACUCCGACACUGCAGACUAAUUUCUAAGUCAGUUUGUGUUUGUUUGAA